AACUUAAGCAUAUCAAUAAGCGGAGGAAAAGAAACCAACAGGGCAUUCCCCCAGUAACGGCGAGUGAAGCGGCAACAGCUCAAAUUUGAAAUCUGGCCCCCCGGGUCCGAGUUGUAAUUUGUAGAGGAUGCUUUUGGCGAGGUGCCUUCCGAGUUCCCUGGAACGGGACGCCAUAGAGGGUGAGAGCCCCGUCUGGUCGGACACCGAGCCUCUGUAAAGCUCCUUCGACGAGUCGAGUAGUUUGGGAAUGCUGCUCAAAAUGGGAGGUAUAUGUCUUCUAAAGCUAAAUAUUGGCCAGAGACCGAUAGCGCACAAGUAGAGUGAUCGAAAGAUGAAAAGCACUUUGAAAAGAGGGUUAAAAAGUACGUGAAAUUGUUGAAAGGGAAGCGCCUAUGACCAGACUUGGGCCCGGUGAAUCAUCCAGCGUUCUCGCUGGUGCACUUUGCCGGGCACAGGCCAGCAUCAGUUUGGCGCGGGGGAUAAAGGCUUUGGGAAUGUGGCUCCCUCGGGAGUGUUAUAGCCCACUGCGCAAUACCCUGCGCCGGACUGAGGUACGCGCAUCGCAAGGAUGCUGGCGUAAUGGUCAUUAGCGACCCGUCUUGAAACACGGACCAAGGAGUCGUCUUCGUAUGCGAGUGUUCGGGUGUCAAACCCCUACGCGUAAUGAAAGUGAACGCAGGUGAGAGCUUCGGCGCAUCAUCGACCGAUCCUGAUGUUCUCGGAUGGAUUUGAGUAAGAGCAUACGGGGCCGGACCCGAAAGAAGGUGAACUAUGCCUGUAUAGGGUGAAGCCAGAGGAAACUC
rnacentral:rRNA from 1 species